rnacentral:sRNA from 1 species
GCACGUUGUGUGUUACCAGGGCCAGUG